UAUUUCANACCUACAUAACUUUGGNGGCAUUUAUUUUAUUUAGAGGAACCUGUAUAUUAAUCGAUAAUCCACGCUAAAUUUAACUUUUUUUAAAAUUCUAUAUACCGCCAUCUUAAGAUUUAAUUUCUAUGUUUUCUUCAAAAUAAAAAUUUUAUACGUUAGGNAAUGGUGUAAACUAUAAAAAAGAUAAUAUGGGUUACAUUAAACAAAAUUUAAGGAAUUAAACUUAAAAUUUUUAUAUAAAAAGGAUUUAUCAGUAAUUUAAAAAUAUUAUUUUUUAAUGAAUUCAAUAAAAAUGUAUACACA
rnacentral:rRNA from 1 species